CCCUCCGUAGCCCAACCUGGAUAGGGCGUCUCCCUCCUAAGGAGAAGGUUGUGGGUUCGAAUCCCAUCGGAGGGG
rnacentral:tRNA from 1 species